UACGUAGGGUGCGAGCGUUAAUCGGAAUUACUGGGCGUAAAGCGUGCGCAGGCGGUUUGUUAAGACAGAUGUGAAAUCCCCGGGCUUAACCUGGGAACUGCAUUUGUGACUGGCAAGCUAGAGUAUGGCAGAGGGGGGUAGAAUUCCACGUGUAGCAGUGAAAUGCGUAGAGGUGUGGAGGAAUACCGAUGGCGAAGGCAGCCCCCUGGGCCAAUACUGACGCUCAUGCACGAAAGCGUGGGGAGCAAACAGG
rnacentral:rRNA from 1 species